UUUUUUUUUUCCUUUCACAUCUCUUCCAUCUGCAAUCAGUCGGUGGACUAUGAACAGAUUUGAGGACCAAAUAUUUUAUCAGUUUAGGCUUUGCACAUCCAGCGAUGUGACAUCCCUUCAAGAUAAGUAUUAAUUACUAUAUGCUGGCCAGUCUUGUCCUCUUAAGGCGGAACGUGCUGUAACUGGGAUCCAGAAGUUGGACUGCUAGGCUGUUUUUAUGACCCUCAAGUCUCUGUUUGUAGGCCUCAAGUGACCUGUCUAUUUCCUCCUUUACUGUGGGGAUUUCUGUGUAGGCAUGCACUUCACUGUUUUUUGUGAACCAUGGUGCGUUACAUAAGACCUUCAAAACAUUGUUCUGGAAGCGCUGGAGUAUCUCAAUGUUUGAGUGGCUUGCUGAACCCCAGAGCUGAAUGCCGUAAGUCCAUACUGGUUUGACGAUGCAUUUAUAUAUGAGAAGCUUAUUUUCAAAGCUCAGUGAGGACUGUCUGCCUAUCAGCCAGUAUAGUUCUCGAAAUUUCCAGUUGGCCUGAUCUCUUUUUUUCUUGAUGUGAUCUCUCCAAGUCAACCUCCUAUCCAGGUGCAUACCUAGGUACUUGAUUGUUGUUUGCGUAGCCUACCUACCUAC